rnacentral:lncRNA from 1 species
UCUUGGUCCCGCUAAGAUCAUAGCAUGUGUCUAAAAUCGAAAGAGCUGAUGCGUUCGGAUACUUCGCCAUGCCUUUGCGGAAGGAAUCGCGAAGGCUGGCGUAGACGGUAGGUGGCAGCCGUGUAAUGACAGUGCCGGAGUCGAUAAUGGCGCCACCGGAGGUGAAAAGAGAGGGCGAGAUUGGAAGCUUGGUUCCUCCGACGCUGAUCCCAGCAAUGUCGAGUCCGUAGAAGGAAUUGCUACUGGAGAAAGGGGCGAAAGGAGUGUAUUUUACAUACUUGUUACGGGUGGCGCCGAAUGUGAGGUGGCCAACGGCGCUGGAAGUGGAGGGAAGACAAUAAGAAAAAGUUUUAUAGUAUUUUUGAGAGGUUUGUUGGACAAAGGAGAUUGGAUGACGACCAAGGCCUAACA